rfam:Ciona savignyi cont_65240, whole genome shotgun sequence.
UAAACGGCUCUUUUUAGAGCCACCCAAGUUAAAAAUAGAGAUUUCGU